GAAGUAAGCUGGGCAAUCGCCGGUGCAGUGCCGAAAGGCCGCACGGGAGGAAAGUCCGAGCUCCAUAGGGCAGGGUGCCGGAUAACGUCCGGCGAGAGCGAUCUUAGGGAUAGUGCCACAGAAAUGUAGACCGCCGAUGGUCCAUGCUAUGGACACAGGCAAGGAUGCAACGGUGCGGUAAGAGCGCACCAGCAGCCUGGAGACAGGCUGGCUAGGUAAACCCCACUCGGAGCAAGACCGGAUAGGAGUGCAUAUGUGGCUGCCCGUCACGCACUCGGGUUGGUCGCUUGAGUCGGCUGGCAACAGUCGACCUAGAUAGAUGAUUGCUACUCCAGAAGUGCGAGGUAUACAAGGGCAUUGCGUGUCCAUCGAUACCGCUUGGAGCACAGGAGCACAGAACUCGGCUUACAGGCUUGCUUCUUCG
rnacentral:RNase_P_RNA from 1 species